rnacentral:rRNA from 1 species
CACGUAGGGCGCAAGCGUUGUCCGGAAUUAUUGGGCGUAAAGAGCUCGUAGGCGGUCUGUUGCGUCCGCUGUGAAAACUCGGGGCUUAACCCCGAGCCUGCAGUGGAUACGGGCAGACUAGAGGUAGGUAGGGGAGAAUGGAAUUCCCGGUGUAGCGGUGAAAUGCGCAGAUAUUGGGAAGAACACCAGUGGCGAAGGCGGUUCUCUGGGACGGUACUGACGCUGAGACGCGAAAGCGUGGGGGAGCGAACAGG